rnacentral:rRNA from 1 species
UGGGGAAUUUUGGACAAUGGGCGAAAGCCUGAUCCAGCAAUGCCGCGUGUGUGAAGAAGGCCUUCGGGUUGUAAAGCACUUUUGUCCGGAAAGAAAUCCUUGGCUCUAAUACAGUCGGGGGAUGACGGUACCGGAAGAAUAAGCACCGGCUAACUACGUGCCAGCAGCCGCGGUAAUACGUAGGGUGCAAGCGUUAAUCGGAAUUACUGGGCGUAAAGCGUGCGCAGGCGGUUUGCUAAGACCGAUGUGAAAUCCCCGGGCUCAACCUGGGAACUGCAUUGGUGACUGGCAGGCUAGAGUAUGGCAGAGGGGGGUAGAAUUCCACGUGUAGCAGUGAAAUGCGUAGAGAUGUGGAGGAAUACCGAUGGCGAAGGCAGCCCCCCUGGGCCAAUACUGACGCUCAUGCACGAAAGCGUGGGGAGCAAACAGGAUUAGAUACCCUGGUAGUCCACGCCCUAAACGAUGUCAACUAGUUGUUGGGGAUUCAUUUCCUUAGUAACGUAGCUAACGCGUGAAGUUGACCGCCUGGGGAGUACGGUCGCAAGAUUAAAACUCAAAUGAAUUGACGGGGUCAUAGCUG